rnacentral:tRNA from 4 species
GAGGAUUUGGCUUAAGUAAAGCGUUUGGUUUGCGUCCAAUUGAUGUAGGAUAGAGUCCUGCAGUCCUUA